CGAUUGAAGUCAGUCGUGCAGUCAUCAAUUCAGCGGUUAACAUUUUAUGUUUCCGUGUAAUUUGGUGUCUGUUGGUUAGCAUCAAUUUUGAUUGUUAUAAAAAGGUUAAGGGGAUGUGGCUCCUUCGGGAGUGUUAUAACCCUUAGCGUAAUGUGACGAUUAGGAUUGAGGUUUGCAACGAAUACCUUUUGGGCAGUUUCGCUGGCCUCUCGUGGAGCCAUAGAGUGUAAGAGCAUGCU
rnacentral:rRNA from 1 species